rnacentral:lncRNA from 1 species
GAGAAAAAGGGCUCAGGACUGAGGAGUGAAGAGCUCCAGGGAUUUCACUCUUCUUUGUGUGUGUGAAGGAAGGCAGGUUUAUUUGCAAGAUGGGUUUGAGGGAAUUAAGGAUAAAGUCUGCUGAAAGUAGCACCAGCCUCUGGAUUAAAAGGGAUGUUUGGAUGAAGCUUCAAUCUCAAGAAGAGGCAAGAGAAAACUAAAGAAAAAGAAGGCAGCAACUGCUUUCGGGAGCAGCUGAAGGCUGGAGAUAACAUGGACCUCCAUGAUGAGAGCUGGAAUGAAGUACCAGGGCAAGGGAGCUGCCUGGAUGAGGAAACCAAGGCUAUCUCAGUACUGCCAAGGUGUUUUCAUCAUUCAUCAAAAUGCAAAAGUAAACACUGGUGAGAAAAACGAUGUUGAUCUCCCAGGCAAGCCACUUUCCAGGAGUGUGGCUGAUUAUUUUCAAAUGCUGCAUCGGAAAGUUGCAGGCCCCUUGGAAAAUCUGUCACCCCUGAGAGUGAUAUUAUUCUACAGAAACAACACAUCACUGGAUGCCUCUCACCAUGCAAUCCUCUGUGCACUUGAGAAGAAGACAAGACUCUCCUAUUUUUAGAUGGGAAAGCUGAGGCAAAACGGAUGCACUUGGGCAAAAUCAUUUGAUAAAAAUGGAAGCUGAACCUCCAAGUCCUGGCAUCGGUAGCUGCCUCAUGUUCCUCCCGCCUCACUCCACCUCAGUGUACCCGCGACUGGAGGGUGCCACAGGCUGGAGCACACAAAACACUGUGUGCUUCGUGAUUCUGAUGUGGGGCGCCAGAUCCGGUGGAAGGAGGGUGGCUGCGUGGGAACAGAUGCUCGUGUCACAAGGAGUUGUCUCUUGUGGGCAAAGCAAGCUGGAAAGUGUUUCGAUUUCUUUAUUUUCAUGCUCUACUCUUGGUGCUUCCUUCUCCUUUGCCCACCAAUCCCCCCAAUGCCAGGCUUCUCCUUACCUGGGUGCAGAGAGAGGAACAACUUGGAGGUGGGCAGAGAGGGACUCAGUUCAUGGUGCUUGGAGGUGGGAGAGCUCCCAGGCAAAAUAGAGAGGAGACUGUGGAGAUGCCGUGGGCAGGUGUGGAGGAGAGGGAGAGCUUGAACGGUGAAAAACAAGAGAUGGAGAGUCUGGGAGAAGGGUGAGCAGCCAGAAUGGGGAUUUCCACAGUAGCUUCUGAUGAGCUAUGUCUGGUCAGAACUAUAACCUUAGCUUCCUUUAUUUCCCUGGAGGGGUGGGGAGAUAGGAAGGAGAGGAGUAUACUAGUCUCUUCCAAAGGGAGGGCCAGAGCAAAAGCGUCCUGUGAUUAAUUACUCACCACAAAAACCCUCUUCAAGGCUGGAGACCUAGGAGGGGCUUGGCACACAGACAACUCCUCUGCAGCUGUUCAGAGAAAAACAGCUCUUCCCAUCUCAAGCCGCCCACCUGCCCAGUGUGCUGUCUGUCCCACUGGUCACACACUUUCCCUAGAGUGCUUCUUGCUUCUCUCACAGCAAUUCCCACCUCCGCAUGCUGGACCAGGCGGCCCCCUCUAGAUCCCAUGGUGAAGCAUCAGGUGCCCACAGGUCUAAGAUGUCUUCAUUUGUUCAAUGGCUAGAGCAGGCAGCUGGCUGUCCAGAUGCAUGAAUGAAUUCCCUAACUCUCACAUGUCUGCAGGAAACUGCUGUAGGAAGCCUGCACCAGUGGAUUGCCAUUCGGGCAGAUCCUCUCAACUUUGAGAGCUUAAGGCUUGCUUUUGAGUAUGUGAUUAUGAUCCUGCCUGUGUGUAUGUAUGUCAGAAUCAUAGAACUCUAGAGGUCAUGUUUUAAUUAAUUUAUUCAUUCAUUGAUUCAUUAACAAAUGCUUAUUGAGUACCUACUAUGUGUCAGGCUGUGAUCUGGAUACUGAGGCACAGAUCAGUGAGCAAAACAGACCAAAAGCUCUGUCAUCAUGAAGCUUAUAUUCUAGAGAGAAGAGAUAUACUAUCAUCAAAUUAAGUCAGUUAUGUAGCAUAUUAGAAAGUGAUAAGUCCAGUGGGGUAAAAUAAAGGAGGAUGAUGGGGAAUGUGAGGGGCGGCAUGCAAUUUUAAAUAGAAUGUUUGAGGAAGGCUUUCAUGGGAAAGUGAUAUUUGGUGCAAAACGUGAAGGCGGUAAAGAGGUGAAUUAUGUGGCUAUGUCGGGGAUGGACAUUACAGGCAGAAGAAUUAGUUAGUCGGGGCUCUGAGCAGGGAGCAGGUCUGGCAUGUUCCCAUCCCAGCAAGUAGGCCAGUGUGGCUCUGGUGGAGUAAGCAAGGAUGGAAUUGCAGCAGGUGAGUCCAGAAGAGUGAUAAUGGACAGCCAGUUGGGGGUGCCUUCCAGGUGAUUGUGGGAACUAGGCUUUAUUCUGAGUGUGAUGGGUAGCCACUUGGGGCUUUCAGGACAGGAUGGUAAAAAAAGGAUCAUGCUGCCUGCUGUGUUGGGAACAGACUGUAUGGGACCAGGUGAAAGCAAAGCAGUCAGCCUCAAAUAAUUCAGGUGAGGGAAAACGUGACUUGAAUAAGAUUCACUGUAGAAGUGGUGAGAUAUAAGUGGAUUCUGGAUAUAAUAAAAAUAUAGAGCCAGCAGGAUUUUCUGAUGGAUUAGCUAAGGAGUGUAAAGAAAUAGAGGAGUCAGAGUGACUUUUUUUUUCCUUGAGCAACAGGAAGUGGAGAGGUAUCAUUACCUGAAAGGAGGAAAGCCUCAGGUAGAGAAAGUUUUAGAGGAGGUAAGAUCAGAGGUUUAGUGCAAGACAUGCUAAGUUUGAGAUGUCUAUUAGAUACCCAAGUGGAUCUGUCUAAUGGGUAUUUAGACAGAUCCACUUGGAUAUCUGUCUCAAUGGACAUGUGAUCUACAUGUAGUUCACAGGAUAAGUCCAGUUUAGAGUACCAAUUUGAAGUCAUCAAAUGUAGGUGGCAUUUAAAGUGGUAAAACUGGACUGAGCACAGUGGCUUAUGCCUGUAACCCCUGCAUUUUGGGAGGCUGAGGUGGGUGGAUAACUUGAGGUCAGGAGUUCGAGACCAGCUUGGCCAACAUGGUGAAACCCUAUCUCUACUAAAAAUACAAAAAAUUAGCCAGGCAUGGUGGCACAUGCCUAUAAUCUGAGCCUCUCGGGAGGCUGAGGCAGGAGAAUUGCUUGAAUCCAGGAGGCAGAGGUUGCAGUGAGCCAAGAUCGUGCGACUGCACUCCAGCCUGGGUGACAGAGUGAGACUCCAUCUCAAAAAAAUAAAUAAAUAAAUAAAUAAAUAAAACAAAAAUAAAAAAUAAAGUGAUAAAACUGGAGAUCACUAUGAGAAUGAGGAUAGCUAGAGAAAAGAAGGGGUCCAGAAGGUUAUCCUUGCUGUGCUCCAAGGUGCUUGAGUUUGGAAACAUGAGACAAAACCAGAAACAGAGACCCUGGGAGAGUCUGUGGUCUCCAUUUUUCCGCUGAGCAAACCACAGGCUUGUGUUCUGCCUAUCUCCCACUUCGCACAUGUACAGCAUUGUAGAAUAUUUACAUGGAAAAGGAUUCUAUGAUAUAGUAGAGUGACUUCCCCUAUUGAUAACAAACAAUUAUGUCAGUCCCUACACAACUCUUAUGCUAAAGGUAAUGGGGAGGGUUGAAUGGUACUCAUUUGGGCAGCUUUUUUUUGGCUAUGUAUACUUUCAGAAAGAAUUUACCUCACCUAGAUCACAUGACUAAAAUAUAGGAAUAUUAAUACCCACUGUGUCUAAUUGGCAGAUUGUUUUGAGAUUUUAAAUGAGAUCUAUUCAUGAAAACAUUUUGUUAAUCUUAAAGCACCACACCAAUAUCACCUAUUAUAUUGUACAGCCAUGAUCAACACAAUUUCCAAUCUAGAAGUCCCUCUCAACUUUUCCUGGGACUGAGCUUUCAGGACUUAGAGUUCCUUCUCCUUCUCAUUCUUUUUCUGCGCAUAGUCUCCCGGUAAAGUGAAAACCAGCUGAGAAAAGAUUCGGGCUGGACAGGCCUCCGUGGCGAUUAAGAGUCACGAAUGUGAUGAUAUUAUUCGCAAACAGCAGUGUAGUCAUGGUUCAGAAUUUUGGAAACAGUGCCAGGAGGAUCUUGGACAUAAUUUUCAGGGUGUAUAAGCCCUGCACUAAAGUAAAGUUUACCAGUGCCAAGAGUUUGACGUUUUCUUCUUCAUGUUUUCUUUGGCUGGAGCCUGGCUUUAGUUGAAGAGUUCUGUCAACAAAUGGAAUUCUCUAUUUGGGACUGGGAUUCUUGAUUGGUGGUGCUUCUGUCUCCUCUUGCUGUGAGUUUCCUCAAACUUAGAGUCCUGUGGGAUCUGUGUUUGAACAGAGACUGGAAAUGCUUACCUCAUCUCCACAUUUCUUAGCCAUUUGUCACCAGACUGUAGAUUGACUGGUGGGAUGCCUGUUUCUAGAGAGAAAAGAUACUGCUUUUCUCUGACUCCAGCUGAGAAGAGGUUGGUUAAAUUACGAAUCUGAUGACUAUCUAUGAACCUAAGGAGGAAAAGUUAAUUUCUUUUGAGGGUUUGCAUAAUGUUUUAAAACAAAUUUAUAGAAAUAUAGAUGAUGGAAAAAAGCAAUAGGGUAAACCUAAAUUAUUAAAAAUAAAUAAUACAUAGGAAAUAAACAGCAUAGAAAAGAAACAAAAAAGAGAUUGUUACCAAAAACCAUAAGUUUUUUUUUUUUUGAAAAUUCUAAGAAGGUGGAUAAAUUUCUGGAAUUUUCAAUGAGCAAAAAAGUGAAAAGAUACAAAUGAAUAAAAAAUGAAAAGGUAGAAAUUAAAAUAGGUCUAGUAGAGAUUAAAAAUAAUAAAAGAAUAUUAUUAAAAAGUAUUGGUGGAUAAAAUAGGCACAUAUCUGAAGAUAAAAGCCGAAUUGACCCCCUAAAAAGCAGAAAACUUACAAUAACAAUCAUUAAUGGCUUUGAAUGGCUAUGAAAAAAUAAUAUCUCUGCCCUCUUCACUACUCCCAUGUAAAAUAAUUUUACGGGUAGAUUUUACCAACGUUUCAAGAGAGACAUGAUUCCCAAAUAUUAUGUAAGUUUUUUCAGAAAAUGAAAAAAAAGAAAACAUUAACAACUCAUUUUAUAAAAUUUGCAUAAUUUAGAAAAUGCAUACACUAAUUUUAUAGAUAAAAGCAUUUAAAAAUAUUAUCCAAGUUCAACAUUUUAAAAAGCAACACAUUUUUACAAUUUUCUCAGGAAUAGAAAGAUAGUUCAACUCCAGAAAAUCUAAAACAGAGUCAUCUCAAUAUACAUGAAAAAAAGAUGAAAAUUAUUAGAAAGCUAGAAAUACACAGGAAUUUUAUAAUCUAAUAAACCCUAUGUACAAAUAUUCCACAACAAAUUUCAUGUUUAAUGGAUAAAUCUGAGGCACUUAUUUUCAAGUCAGGAACUAGAUAUAUAUGCUUUGUAUAAGUGAUACCUGUCAGCACAGUGUGCUAACAAUUUUAGUCAAUACAGUGAAAAAGAAAAUAAUUGUUAUAAAUAAUACAUUGUAAUUAUUUGCUGAUGAUAUGAUCAUUUACAUUUAAAAUGCAAGAGUAUUAAUGGCAAACUAGUCACACCAAUAAGAAAGUUCAGCAAAAUUUUCUAACAUAAGAUCAACAUAUAAAAGUAAAUAAGUUUUCUCUAUAUCAACAAUAUUAUAUUAGAAACCAUAAUAAAAAGAAGCAACACACUCAUAAAAUAUAUAGAAAUGAAUUUUUUUAAUGCAUAGGAUUUAUAAAAAAAUUAUAAAGCCCUAGUAAAGCACAAGAAAGAAAGUUCAAAUAAAUGGAGAAAUACACUAUGUUCAUGAAUGGGGAGACUUUAUCUUGUAAAUACAUCGGUUUUUCUAAGUUUGGAAUAUAUUUAAUGCAUUUCCAAUAAUAAUUACAAGAAGAAUCAUGGGAAAAAUUCCAUAUUGAUUUAAAAUAUAUAGAGAGAAAUAAAGGUCCUAAAAUAGUUAACACAGAUUUUAACUUUUGAAUUAAGGUGGAGAGAAGAAAGGAUGACUAAUCCUUCUAGAUAUUAACAAAUACUGCAGAGCAACAAUUAGUAAAAUACAUUCAUUUUUGUAUAAGAAUAAGUAGAUAUACAGUACAAGAUCGACAGUCCAGAAACAGACUGAUAUCUCUACAUGAACUUGGUAAAUGAUGGUGAUGGCAUCGUAAAUCAGCGGAAAAUGUUUUAAGUUUAAAAUAAAUGUUCUAUGGAAAGUAGGCUAAUUAUAUGAGAAAUAAUCAGUUAAAUGCUCCAGAUAUACCAAGAAGAUAUAAAAUACAUAGGACUUUUCAAGAAAAAUUGAUGGAUUUGACUAUAAAAAUAAAUAGUUUGGCUAACACAGGACAGCAUAAGUCAAAAUAAUAGUCCAGGAAGUGAUAUUUACAUCAUUAAUGACAAAAAUUCUAGAGCUAUAUAAGGAAAAUCACUAAUUAAUUUAAAAAUUAGACACAGGAUGCAAUUAAACUGUUUAACAAGAGGAAUUUGAAUGGACAAGUCUUUGAAGAGAGUCUUCUCAGCAUUGCUUUUAGGUAGAGAGUAACAUUUAAAUUACCAUGCAAUCUCUUUCUUCUUCAUUUUAACCACGUCUUACCAUUAGACUUUCAGGAUCAAGCUAUCUGUUGCUAAGAAACAAAAGCAAAAUUGCCUUUUUCUCAACAGAUUUAAGUGAAAAUCAGUAGUCAGUUCAGGUGUGACUCUAAGAAGACACAUUGGAGAGUAUGCUGGGCUUACAUGAAGCUAGCCACGUGUGUUGGCUCACACAUCUAUCUUGCAUUGGUUCCACGUUCCUUCUCAUGAUCCUCUGAGCAGAAAUAUUUUUCACAGUUAUUAGUUACAAUUUGCUGGAAAUUGCAACCCAUUGGAGUUUUUUUCCCUUGUUUUCUUAAAUUCACUAAUAAACAUAUGUGACACUUUUUGAACUAUUUACCAAACGUGACUUUGAGGCUACAUUACCAACUUCAGCCAGGUGGUUUAACACAUUUGAGCAUCACACUUGGUGCUUAAAAGGUGCUAAGUAAAAUAUUAAAUGAAUCCAGCAGGAACAAAUGAGAAACCCAUUUAUAAUCAUUGCAUUGGCAAAAAUUAAAAUGCUGGAAAGCAUAAGUGUUGGUGAGGUUGUAGAGAAACAAGAACUCUUCUCUACUGAGAGUGGAGGGAUAAAUUAAUGUUGUUAUUCUGGAGAAUAAUUUAAUAAUACUAGUGAAAUUACAUAUAUUCAUAUUCUAUGGCUUUGCAGUUUCAUUACUGAGUAUACACCCCUCAGUUACUCUUCUGGAGAUAUAUUAAAGAUAAGUUCUCAGAAGUUUACUUACUGCAGCACAGUUUGAACCAACAAAGAGUUGGAAAUAACUCGAAUGCCCAUUAGUGAGAAAUGGAUAAUCAAAAUGUGAAAUAUGCAAGUAGUGGAGUACCAUGCAGUAGUUAGAAGUAAUAAACUACAUUUAAGUACAUCUACAUUAAUAAAUCUCAAAAAUAUGAUGAUAAGUAAAACAAGUUAGAAGAAGAAAUGUAGCAAAAUGCCAAGUAUGUUAAAAACACAAGAGUGAGUACCUGCAUGUAAUGUUAAAUAAUACUACCAAAUAUAAGGAUAUAAAAAGAGCAAUCCUGCAUCACUGAUAAUAUUCUACUAUAAGCUGAUUGUUGUAAAGUUAGUUUUUUUGCCUCUAAAAUAAAAAUAAAAUUUGCAGUAACCUUCAAAAUUAGUAAAUAAAAUUAAAAAAUAGAACUAUUAGGAGCUACAAACGAUUUGGGUCAGUGUGAGUCUCAUGUAUAUAAUUUCCAUUCACAUUUAGUGUGCUGCACAUUUUCUUACAUCAAUUCAUUCAUUCUGUGAAUUCAUUCAUUCUAUGAAUUCAUUCUAUCAAUUCAUUUAUUGCUUAUUGAUAACUAAUACCAUUCAUAAUUCAUAAUUGCUUAUUGAUAACUAAUACCAUUCUAAUGAUUGUUCCUUCUCUUAUUAUCCAUUUUUCUCAUUUGAGGUCUAUGGUAUCACGAGUUGAUAUCAGAAAGUCUUGUUACCAUUGUCUAUAAAUUUCUAAGAUUACUUUUACCAUCUUUGAUGAUUUCUGGUAAUAAAGGCUGGGCAAUAUAGGGAUGCAGACAAUAUUUUUGAUCUACUUGCUGUCACAUAAUCAGUUUCCUAAAUGAAGUAAUACUUCAUUUAUGGAAACUUGUUGUCAAUUUUCCUGUCCAUCUGUCUUCUGGUACAUUUUCAGUGACUUCAGCAUUUAUGUUAUAAUAUGCUAACCAUGCUUCCCAUUCUUUACUAUUUCUAUUCCUCUGCUUAGCUAGUAGCAAGGAGAUCCUUAAGCCCCAUGACCAAUUGUCACUAAUCCUCUAAGAUAUCUCCUGAACCUUUUAACUAUAAACCCUUGUUUAUAUAGUAAGACUGCCCAUUUAUUAUAAUUUCAGCCACUCCAUUAGCUUUGCUUCUGAUCAGACACUUAGCAACUUUUUUGAUUACCAGUGCCUGGCCAAAGUUCACGUGGGUUCCUAUACAUGCUUAAUAAUUGUCUGCUCAGUUGCUGAUGAAAUCUCUAUAUCUCUGCCAAUCAACCUUCUGCUUUUCUCAAGCCUAAUCCUGCUCACUUUAUUCUCAGACAGAUGUUUUUUAUUUAUUAUUACUGCUCCUGCUCCUUCUCCCUCUACCACUACCACUACAAUAGCUUAGGAAAGCUCCUGGAACAUAGUAAACACUCAGUAAAUGUUCACUGCUGUUCUUAUCAAUGCUACUACACUACUGUUAAGUCUCCUAGGACCACCACAUGGUGAACAUUUAUUAUAUAUCAAGCCUUGUGCCAAGUAUUUUACACGUAUCAUCUCAUAUAAUUUAAUAUAUUUUUACUGAGAACAUUGAAACCAUUCAAAAAGUAAUCUUUAGCUUUUUUCAAAAUUGAUUUCCUUAUAAAGUAACACCUUUUAAUCUCACAAAAGAGGUCUGCUCACCCUGUCCAAGACCAACACCUUGAUAUGUAUUUUCAUCCUCUGUCUUUUCUGUCACUUCCAAGGCCCUGUUUUGUUGCCUUCUGACUUCUAGAUUCUUCAGUCUCUUCCACUGGCUCCUUUUUUGGCCUUUCAAUAUGCCUACGUCUAAUUUGUCUUGAAAACCCCCAGGUCUGAAUGUUUUUCUGUAAAAGAUUCUUUCAUAUUUUUCUCCUGCCUAUCAUUGUGCUUAUCGUUAGGCAUGUUAUCUAUGCCUUCUUCUUGACUGAAUUACAUGCACUUGGAAUCCAUUUCUAUUCUUUCUGAACUAAUCAUUGGUAAUAAUUUCCUAGUUAUCAAAGUCUUCUUCUAGCUACUUAAUCUCUAUAGGUUUUUCUAAUGCAUUUUGCCCCUUUGAUCACUGUAUCCUUGAAUCUCUUUCUUCUUUGGCUUUUAUGAUAGGAGAAGUUCAUUUCUAUUACAUGCUCCCCUGCCUCUUUAAGGCCAGACGUUGUGUAUCAUGAGGCACCAUCUGAAGGAUCUUGGAAGUAGACCAUGCACAGAAGGUUCGGAAUGGGGCAGCAGUGGAGUCAGGAUUUACAUUGUCAGAAAGAGUCAAAAGGACACAAGAAGGCAGAGAAAAGCAGAAGAUUUGUUUUCCUGGCAUCAAUUAAUAACAAAGAUUUUAAGAGAAAUAUUAUUAAUAUUAGUCAAAGAGUUGACAAAAACUGAUGGAUAGCUGAGAUACCUGCACUAGUUUUAGGUGAAAUAUUAUGAAGAUCUGGGCAGAGUUGGCCAAAGAGUUUUGGCUAGUUCAAAAACUGAUGGAGCUGGAGCAAGGAAGGGCAGCAGAUGUGCAGGUGGGCAGUUGGGUGGGCUGACAGGGAGGGAGAUAGGUUGGUGGACAGAAGAACAGAUAGAAAACAGGAAAAAAAGGCCAGGCACGGUGGCUCAUGCCUGUAAUCCCAGCACUUUGGGAUGCUGUGGUGGGUGGAUCACAUGAAGUCAGGAGUUUGAGACCAGCUUGGCCAACAUGGUUAAACCCCGUUUUUACUAAAGAUACAAAGAUCAGCUGGGCAUGGUGUUGUGUGCCUGUAGUCUCAGCUACUCAGGAGGCUGAGGCACGAGAAUUGCUUGAAUCUGGGAGGCAGACAUUGCAGUGAGCCAAGAUUGUACCACUGCACACCAGCGUGGGUGACAGAGCAAGACUCUGUCUCAAAACAAAAAUAAAAAACAAACAAACAAAAACAGGAAAAAAGAUAAAGCGAAAGAGACCUAGCUCCAUUUACUUACCUUCUCUUGAUGGAAGUUACUCCUUGGUUGUUUUUGCUCAGAGGCCUGGGGGUAGUGAAAGCAGGCUGGGUGACUGUGGGAUUAAGUGAGGAGCUGGGUUGAGCUGACCACGGCAGUGAAAUGAGUAGAACCUCAUAGGGGUACAGAGCUGAUGGGAAAAGCACUUGGGCCAUCAUCAUCCUCCCGGUUUAAUAAACAUCGGUCACCUAUACAUUUUUAGAGCUUUUUAUUAUAGACAUUUUCAAACAUAUACAAACAUAGUAUACUGAGCUGAGCCCUCAUGUAUUUAUUAUCCAAUUCAAUACCUAUCAACAUUUUUUCAGUUAUGUUUAAUCUGUGUUUGCUCCACUGCCCUUUGGUGUUUUUAUUUUUGCUGCAAUGUUUUAAGACAAAUCCAAAGUAUCCUAUUAUUUCACCCACAAAUAAUUUAGUACCCACACUUGUUUUAUAUUGAAGCACUGUAUGUUUUUAAAAGAAGCAGUAGCUGAAAGCCCAGAGGGCUCUGGAAGUGGAUAGAGUAGGGACUUUGGUACUAGUGCUUUUGGUUUCCUUUAAGUUUUGUGGCUUUGAGAUGCCCAAGGACUAGACCUUAUUCCUUAAAUUAAAGCAGGGUUUUCAUUUCUUAGGCAGUCAGCUUGCUCUUUAAAACUGAAAUUUUUAUUUUGGGUAAAAAGGACUUUGCCAUUUGAAUGUCUGUAAUAGGUAGCCACAGAACCAUUAUUAUAAUCAAUGUAAAUUCUAACUCUGAGAGAUAAAUAAGUACUAGAGAAAAAUAGACUAACCUACUAGGAGAGAUAUGAAAAGACAUAAAACAGAAUUAACAAUGUAGUACUACAUAGAGUGCCUCAAAUUAGCAAUACAAAAAAUAGGUGUGCUCAAUGACAGCAAGCCAACUAUAUAAAUUGGAAAUUGGGAUAUGUAAUUCAGGAAAAGAUUUGUUUUCUAAUGUGCAACUUAUUACAAUCAGUGAUGGAUGCACCAAGCUUAAUUGUGGUAAUUACUUCACUUUAUAUGUACAUAAAAUUGUCACAUUGUACAGCUUAAACUUAUACAUUUUUUUGUCAAUUGUAACUCAAUAAAAAAUUUUUAAAUAAAAAUAAAUCUCUCAAAAUAAAAAGUUCAUUUCAUGCUAUGUUUUAAUCAUCUUUAUUAAGAAGGGCAAAUUACAUAAAACCAGGACCAUGUAGAAAACCUGGGACAUGUGGUCCACACUGCAGUGAGUUGAAUUUGGGACACUUUAUGCCUCGGGUGGUCAGAGAAGGGUGGUGUCAAACUUAAAGGUAGGACUUAGUUCAAUUUACUUAGCAACCAAUGUAAAGACAGGAAUGAUUUGUGUAAGGUAGUAGCAGAAGCUAAGUUUAGAAAGGGACAAGGAGGUGAAGAGGUGAAUAUCUUAAACCCUUUUGUGGAAUGUUAAUGCCAAGCGAAUAUUCCUAAGUUUUCACUGAAGAAAGUGUUCUGUGGUCCAACACAUUUUGAAAACGUUGGCUUAAGAAAACUUCCAAUGUCUUGAUAAUAUAUUCAGUUUCUUAGUGAAUGUGCAUGUACAUGGAGAAGUGGUGAUAGCAGGUAGCAUUUCUUUCCUUUUCUUUUUUUUUAAAUGAAGCUUCUAUUAAUAUUC